rnacentral:rRNA from 1 species
UACGUAGGGACCAAGCGUUGUUCGGAUUUACUGGGCGUAAAGGGCGCGUAGGCGGCAAUUCAAGUCAUCUGUGAAAUCUCCGGGCUUAACUCGGAACGGUCAGAUGAUACUGCUUUGCUAGAGUGCGGAAGGGGCAAUCGGAAUUCUCGGUGUAGCGGUGAAAUGCGUAGAUAUUGGGAGGAACACCAGUGGCGAAGGCGGCUCACUGGACUGGUACUGACGCUGAGGCGCGAAAGCGUGGGGAGCAAACAGG